rnacentral:rRNA from 1 species
AUGAAAAUGAUGAUGAUUUCUCUAGCGAUUCCACUACUAAUUCCGAUGGGAAUGGUCGUCUGUUCACAGGUGCUCAUGCUGAGAAAUGAAGGAAUACGAGGUCAGGCUUUUGGUGCAGGAACCUCGACGAUUUCUCCAUUGUCAAAGGUCGCGUCAGUUGGUUCGGGGAGGGUGGAUACCUCAAUGGGGAUUGCCCCAACCUUGACUACUGCUGGUAUGUCACCGUGUUCGGAUAAUAUGCAUUCAAAGUGUUUUGUUAAUCCAUGGACUUUGGAAUUAAUUGAAGAUGUCUUGUCUACUCCAGUUCGCCCUUCUUUGGAGUCUGUGAUUGCGUUCGGUGGCAUUCCGAAGGAGGCGGCAAUUGAGGUGCGAUCUAGUGCCAGGUUGGGUGGCCGACCAGAUGCAGAUAGUACUCAGAUGGAGAAGACAAUGAAGAACGCAAGUGUGCGUGAUAUGUCUUCAUAUUCAGGUAUUAAUCCACGUCCUCGCUCUAUUUUGGAUAUUCCCGAUCAUGAAAUAGCAAAUAAGGCUGGAGAUCGCUAA